GAUGAAUAACGUAGCGAAAUGCGAUAAUUAAUGUGAAUUGCAGAAUUCCGUGAAUCAUCGAGUCUUUGAACGCACAUUGCGCCUCAUGGCAUUCCGUGAGGCAUGCCCAUCUCAGCGUUAGAAAAUAUUCUCAAAUUUUAGUUUUGUGCUAAAAUUUGGAUCAUGUCAAAGAAGCUAUUACUAUUAUUGUGAUCGCUCUUUGGAAAUUGAUAGGUCUUUGAGUUGCUACUCAUAGAACGUGAUGAAUCUUUCUUCGUUCUAUUGUAAUUCACUCUGGUAGUCCUAAAACUUGUAUGCCUGUGGCAUAUCUUGUAAUUUGACCUGAGAUUGGGUAGGGAUACCCGCUGAACUUAAGCAUAUCAAUAAGCGGAGGA
rnacentral:misc_RNA from 1 species